UGUACAGUAGCUCGUAUCAAAAACAUAAAUUUGAAACAAUUUCUCCCCCCUCCUCUUCCUCGCCCCCGUUUCCUUGCCGCCGAGCCCGCCUUCCUCCCUCACGUGGCCUAGUUUCCUCUGACCCGCUCCUCCCACCCCCUUCCUCUCGACUCCAUAUUGAGGCUGAAGGAGGCUCACAAAAUCCAGUCACAAAAUGGAGGUUAAAAGGAGCAACUGAGUCAGAACACACUCCCAAAAUGGCGUGUAAAGAGGAGAGAGAGGAUGAAGAUUACAAGAGAAGGGGAAGAAGAUCCUCACAGGGUCAUGAUCCUAAAGAACCAGAACAAUUGAGAAAGCUGUUUAUUGGUGGCUUGAGCUUUGAAACAACAGAUGAUAGCCUAAGAGACCACUUCGAAAAAUGGGGCACACUCACAGAUUGUGUGGUGAUGAGAGACCCACAGACAAAGCGCUCUCGAGGCUUUGGUUUUGUGACCUAUUCUUGUGUGGAAGAAGUAGAUGCUGCAAUGGCAGCUCGACCACAUAAAGUUGAUGGCCGUGUGGUAGAGCCAAAGAGGGCUGUUUCUAGAGAAGAUUCUGUGAAACCUGGUGCUCAUUUAACAGUAAAGAAAAUAUUUGUUGGUGGAAUUAAAGAAGACACAGAAGAAUAUAAUUUAAGAGAUUAUUUUGGAAAAUAUGGCAAAAUUGAAACCAUUGAAGUAAUGGAAGACAGGCAGAGUGGAAAGAAAAGAGGUUUUGCCUUUGUGACAUUUGAUGAUCAUGAUACAGUAGACAAAAUUGUUGUUCAGAAAUAUCACACUAUAAAUGGACAUAACUGUGAAGUGAAGAAAGCUCUCUCCAAGCAAGAAAUGCAGACUGCAACCGCACAAAGAAGUCGUGGGAGUAGUUCAAGCAACUUCAUGGGUCGUGGGAACUUUGGAGGCAGUGGUGGAAGUUACAACAGAGGUGGAAGUUUUGGUAGUAGAGGAAGCUACGGUAGUGGAGGUGGCAGCAGCAGUAGAGGAAGCUUUGGCAGUGGCGAUGGAUAUAAUGGUUUUGGUGAUGGUGGAAAUUAUGGUGGUAGCCCUGGAUAUGGUAGCCGAGGUGGUUAUGGUGGUAGCCCAAGCUAUGGAAAUCCAGGUGGUGGAUAUGGUACAGGAGGUGGAGGCUAUGAUGGUUAUAAUGAAGGAGGAAGCUUUGGAGGCAACUAUGGUGGCAGUGGAAGCUACAAUGAUUUUGGCAACUACAGUGGACAGCAGGCUUCAAGUUAUGGACCCAUGAAAGGAAGUGGCAGUUUCAGUGGCAGAAGUUCAGGCAGUCCCUAUGGUGGUAGCUAUGGAUCAGGUGGAGGAAGUGGUGGCUAUGGUGGAAGAAGAUUCUAAAAACUAGUGGGAUAAUGAUUGUUGAAGAAACCUCUGUGACCAGAGGUGGAUAUCUUAUUGGAAAACUUUUGCUUGGUAAGAAUGUACAACACUAAUGUUUCUUUUAUUGUAUUCUGAGCUCUGAAAAUUUGGAGAGAACAACAAACUGGGUAAAUGUGAAAUAUAUUGAAUAUUUAUUAUUGUAUUCAAAUCAAUGUGGAUGGGCAUAUUAAAACAACUAACUGGCAUUUAGAUCUAAAAUUCUACCAUUCACAGUACUUCAGACAGCUGUUAUAGAGGUGGGUGAUUAACAAUUGGACCUUUCUGGGGAUGAGGCUUAAUUUAGGAUUUUGAAGUUUUAGAGACCAUAUCUAUGUGAGGGUGGGGGGAGAUCAAAUAUCCACCAAUUAAUGAGAAGUAACAUUUUUUUAAAAUCCUUUGCUUUAGCUAAAUUCGUGACUUGUGAAUGGCUCAAAAAAUUAUAGUGGUUUCCAGUAGGGUUCAUCAUCAUCUAUACAGUAGACGUUGGUUAUAAUAGGCAAUUUGCACGCAACAUCAUGUAUCGGCAUGAAUGGAAUGGGAGGGGAAGUGAGCUUGAAACGAAACAUUUUCAAUAUGUAGAGAUUUUUUCCCCUGAUGAAACAACAUACCUUUGCUUUAGCAUAGGAAAAAUGGGUACUCCUUGAAACAAGCUUUAUUACCCUGCUUACCAAGAACAAAAUGUUGACUCUAGCUGAGUAUGUAAAGCAAUGGAACAAAUUAUUUUGUUUUACUUUUGAGAACUCUAAGAACAGUGGUUGGUUGCUUUUUGCAUGCUCCUGGCAUAUAGCUUCUUAAUGCUGUUACCAGAAUUUGUUAGGAAUCAUUGUAUUGUGGAGGGAUAAUUUCCCAGUGAUUUUGGUAAGAAAGGUGUAUGAUGCAUCACAGAUUGUUGAACAUACCUAAUUACGUACAUCAGGCAAGAAAGACGGAAAAAAGCACAUAACCUUUCAUACAACCUGAAAAUCCUUAUUUUAUUACUUGUGUGAUUUUUCAGUUAGAAAAGUAGCCAAUAAUAAAGUUAGCAUUGCUGGAUUCCUAUUGGUAAUGUUUCUAAUUGCCAAAUUGCAGGCAAGAAAAUCAGUAACAUUCUCACCUGGAAUACUUGAUGUGCCCUCUAAAUUAAUUUUCAGGUAACAAAUCUUUAAAACGAGUUUCUGGGGGUUUUAAAGGAUUUUUUAAAAACUCAUUCUGUAAACCUUAAUUGUGUAAACUAAUACUGAAAUUCAUUUGCCUUAUUCUGUUGUUAUUCUGCAUGUAAAAGAGUAGGAUUGUGAUUCCAGAUUGUCUGCAUUUUUUGGCUUGUCAGCAUCUCAGUUUAACUCACAAGUUAUGAAUUUAUGAGCAGUUUAUAAUUUCUGUACCUAUCUACAGUAGCAUCAAUUGUACAAAUUGUUAUGUUAUAGUAAAUAGGAACUGUGGCUAAUUGCAACUGAAUAUUAGAGAAUAUUUAUGGAUUGUGUCUUGCUAUUCUAGGACUGAAUGGCAAAGAGCACCUAUGCUCCCUUUUUGUCUUAUGAAAACAGGGUUGAGGCUAAAAUGGGUACAGUAAUCUCAGCAAUCCCCAGCAAGAUGGAAAUGGGGAUGACUAAUCCUGAAGAAACAAUCGUCUGUUUCCAUAAAUUGAAAUUUUUGAUUCUUCAAUGGAACAUGCAUACAACUGAUAGCUAUGAGAGCAAAAAUUGAAGCAUGUAAUAAUCAAAUGCUUAUAAUAAAAUACAGUUAACCAUGAUAGUGAAUCUCAA